rnacentral:rRNA from 1 species
AUACGUAGGGUGCGAGCGUUGUCCGGAAUGACUGGGCGUAAAGCGAACGUAGGCGGGAGUGCAAGUCAGAUGUGAAAUACAUGGGCUCAACCCAUGGGCUGCAUUUGAAACUGCAAUUCUUGAGUGGCGUAGAGGUAAGAGGAAUUCCUGGUGUAGCGGUGAAAUGCGUAGAUAUCAGGAGGAAUACCGGUGGCGAAGGCGGCUUACUGGCCGUUUACUGACGCCGAGGAUCGAAAGCGCGGGGAGCAAACAGGAUUAGAUCCCCUGGUAGUCCACGCUGUAAACGAUGUUUACUAGGUGUGGGUGUACUGGCCCCUUGCGUUCCGCAGGUAACACAAUAAGUCGUCCACCUGGGGAGUACGGCCGCAAGGUUGAAACUAAAAGGAAUCGACGGGG